rnacentral:tRNA from 1 species
UCCUGUGGGCCGAGGGUAAAGCGUCUGCCUGCAAUGCAGGAGACCCAGGUUCGAUCCCUGGGUCAGGAA